GGGCCUCGGCUGGGGGACCCGCCCCCGCUUGCGGGGAGGAACCUAGGGCCGGGAGCUGCCCCGCGUCCUGGCCCUGGGCCGGCGGGUUAUCGCUUGACCGGACUCGGGGAGCCUUCCCCAGCCGCUAACCUUGAGCCCCGCCCGCCCGAGUGAGGGGGGAGCUUGGGGACAACGUGGCGCCGCAGGAGGGUUUGAUGCCAGCCAAGACCUGCCCUGACGAGGGAUCCUGACUUCUUCCAAGCAGCGGGAGAGGGGAGGCAAGUACGGUUCCCAGCAGUGACCUGGACAGCCUGCUGUCCCUGGGAAACAGGUGAUCAGGUGUGCAGGGGUCAGCCGCUGAGAGUUUGACACGGGGUGAGGACCUGGAGGACAAGCAGGUGAGCCGUCCAGUAACAUCUGGGAGGCCAGGACAGAACUGGGGAGCAGCUCUAGGCGCCAUCAGGAAUGGGGGAAGACCUAGAGCCACAGGGAGGGGCUGGAAAGAAUGAGGCGCACCAGCCAGGAACCCACAGAGGAGCGACGGAAAGGAAAACAGGGCAAGUGGGGCCACAGCCCCCCCAAACUGAUCUGUACACUGAAUACAAUCCAGUAGAAGU